rnacentral:rRNA from 1 species
GAGCGCAACCCCUACCUUUAGUUGCCAGUCAGGUUAAGCUGGGGACUCUAAAGGAACUGCCUACGCAAGUAGUGAGGAAGGCGGGGAUGACGUCAAAUCAGCACGGCCCUUACGUCCAGGGCUACACACGUGUUACAAUGGCCAGUACAGAGGGCAGCCACCCCGCGAGGGGGCGCUAAUCCUAAAAGCUGGUCCCAGUUCGGAUCGGAGUCUGCAACCCGACUCCGUGAAGCUGGAUUCGCUAGUAAUCGCGCAUCAGCCACGGCGCGGUGAAUACGUUCCCGGGCCUU